CCGCUUGCAAGUAAACAGAUAGACCCACGAAGUCCUGUUAAGUGAGAGAUUCAUAUUGUUCGAAAGGCGAGAACGUUGAUGAUGUCCACUUGUGGAUAAGUCAGCGUUCGCUGUCAAUUGAAUGAUGCAUUUCUCUCGCUUACGCUGGAGCUCUGACAGCCUCUUUGACUUUAACUGCUUAGGGCAGUCGUUGCUUGUGGUUGGAGACUUCGGUCUCUUUUCACUUGUGACGAUGAGUAAGUUAAGUCGAAUGGAGUUGUUGAAUUGCUUACUUUUGUAAGUGUUUUCAGGUUGUCGGUACGACUCUUUUGUCAAGCGUGCUGCGUAGAGAAUUUUCGUCUCUCGUAGAUGAAAACCUCUGCGUACGUAUUCUUAAGUGCAGAAGGGAAGUGCCAACGAUGAUCCAGAGUAAGUAGGUCGGUCAUCUAUCUGACCCGUCUUGAAACACGGACCAAGGAGCCCAACAACUGCGCGAGUCGCUCGGUCUUGCAUAGGCCCGAGAGGCGAAGUAAACACAAUGGUAUGAUCCUGGAUAGCUUGCUACCGGGCGCAAUACCAACCUGCUUAUCUUGCCUUUUGACAGGAAAGCGGAGUUUGAGCGUAAUUGUUGGUACCCGAAAGAUGGUGAACUAUACUUGGGCAAGACGAAGCCAGAGGAAACUCUGGUGGAGGUCUGUAGCGAUUCUGACGUGCAAAUCGAUCGUCAGACCUGAGUAUAGGGGCGAAAGACUAAUCGAACCAUCUAGUAGCUGGUUCCUUCCGAAGUUUCCCUCAGGAUAGCUGGUACUAACAUAACUCUGUAGCACCCGGUAAAGCGAAUGAUUAGAGGUCUUGGGAUCGAAACGAUCUCAACCUAUUCUCAAACUUUAAAUGGGUGCGAGGAUUGACUUUUUUGGAGUAAAGUCUUUCUUUCGUAAGAGUAGUACCAAGUGGGCCAUUUUUGGUAAGCAGAACUGGCGCUGUGGGAUGAACCAAACGUUGAGUUAAAGCACCAAAUGCCGACGCUCAUGAGACCCCAUGAAAGGUGUUGGUUGCUAUAGACAGC
rnacentral:rRNA from 1 species